GACGAACGCUGGCGGCGUGCUUAACACAUGCAAGUCGAACGAAGAGCGAUGGAAGCUUGCUUCUAUCAAUCUUAGUGGCGAACGGGUGAGUAACGCGUAAUCAACCUGCCCUUCAGAGGGGGACAACAGUUGGAAACGACUGCUAAUACCGCAUACGAUCUAAUCUCGGCAUCGAGGAUAGAUGAAAGGUGGCCUCUACAUGUAAGCUAUCACUGAAGGAGGGGAUUGCGUCUGAUUAGCUAGUUGGAGGGGUAACGGCCCACCAAGGCGAUGAUCAGUAGCCGGUCUGAGAGGAUGAACGGCCACAUUGGGACUGAGACACGGCCCAGACUCCUACGGGAGGAAGCAGUGGGGAAUCUUCCGCAAUGGACGAAAGUCUGACGGAGCAACGCCGCGUGAGUGAUGACGGCCUUCGGGUUGUAAAGCUCUGUUAAUCGGGACGAAAGGCCUUCUUGCGAACAGUUAGAAGGAUUGACGGUACCGGAAUAGAAAGCCACGGCUAACUACGUG
rnacentral:rRNA from 1 species